CUACGGGGCGCUGCAGUCGAGAAUAUUUCACAAUGGGGGAAACCCUGAUGAUGCGACGCCGCGUGAGGGACGAAGGUUUUCGGAUCGUAAACCUCUGUGUUAUGGGAAGAAUCCCUUUCUGGUGAUAAAUCAGGAAGGUUGACGGUACCAUAGUAGAAAGCCCCGGCUAACUACGUGCCAGCAGCUGCGGUAAUACGUAGGGGGCGGCGUUGUCCGGAUUUAUUGGGCGUAAAGGGCGUCUAGGCGGUUGUGUAAGUCUGAUGUGAAAUCGUUCGGCUUAACCGAGCAACUGCAUUGGAUACUGCAUAGCUUGAGUACGGGAGAGGGAAGUGGAAUGAGCAGUGUAGCGGUGAAAUGCUUAGAUAUUGCUCAGAACACCGGUGGCGAAGGCGGCUUCCUGGCCUGAUACUGACGCUGAAGCGCGAAAGCUAGGGGAGCGAACGGGAUUAGAUACCCGCGUAGUC
rnacentral:rRNA from 1 species